UACGGGGGGGGCAAGCGUUGUUCGGAAUUACUGGGCGUAAAGGGUUCGUAGGUGGCUUGCUAAGUCAGACGUGAAAUCCCUCAGCUCAACUGGGGAACUGCGUCUGAGACUGGCGAGCUUGAGUGCAGGAGAGGAAUGCGGAAUUCCAGGUGUAGCGGUGAAAUGCGUAGAUAUCUGGAGGAACACCGGUGGCGAAGGCGGCUUCCUGGACCUGUUCUGACGCUGAGGAGCGAAAGCGUGGGGAGCGAUCCGG
rnacentral:rRNA from 1 species